rnacentral:RNase_P_RNA from 1 species
AGAGUCGGCUGGGCAGUCGCUGUUUUAUCGCAAGAUAGAAUGGAGGAAAGUCCGGGCUCCAUUGGGCAGGGUGCCAGGUAACGCCUGGGAGGUGUAAACCUACGGAAAGUGCCACAGAAAAUAUACCGCCCCAGCCCUUGUAAAAGGGCUGGGGUAAGGGUGAAAAGGUGCGGUAAGAGCGCACCGCGCAACUGGCAACAGGGGCGGCAUGGUAAACCCCACCCGGAGCAAGAUCAAAUAGAGGGACAGACGCGUGGCCCGCGCGGUCCCUGGGUAGAUUGCUUGAGCUGCAAGGUGACUUGCAGCCUAGAUGAAUGGCUGCCCUCGACAGAACCCGGCUUAUAGGCCGACUUUUUCU